rnacentral:rRNA from 1 species
AUUAAACGCUGGCGGCAUGCCUUACACAUGCAAGUCGAACGGCAGCACGGGGGCAACCCUGGUGGCGAGUGGCGGACGGGUGAGUAAAGCAUCGGAACGUAUCCUGGAGUGGGGGAUAACGUAGCGAAAGUUACGCUAAUACCGCAUAUUCUGUGAGCAGGAAAGCAGGGGAUCGCAAGACCUUGCGCUCUGGGAGCGGCCGAUGUCGGAUUAGCUAGUUGGUGGGGUAAAGACCUACCAAGGCGACGAUCCGUAGCGGGUCUGAGAGGAUGAUCCGCCACACUGGGACUGAGACACGGCCCAGACUCCUACGGGAGGCAGCAGUGGGGAAUUUUGGACAAUGGGCGGAAGCCUGAUCCAGCCAUGCCGCGUGAGUGAAGAAGGCCUCGG